UACGGGGGGGGGCAAGCGUUGUUCGGAAUUACUGGGCGUAAAGGGCUCGUAGGCGGCCAACUAAGUCGGAUGUGAAAUCCCCAGGCUUAACCUGGGAACUGCAUCCGAUACUGGAUGGCUUGAAUCCGGGAGAGGGAUGCAGAAUUCCAGGUGUAGCGGUGAAAUGCGUAGAUAUCUGGAGGAAUACCGGUGGCGAAGGCGGCGACCUGGGUAGAUACUGGCGCUGAGGCACGAAAGCGUGGGGAGCAAACAGG
rnacentral:rRNA from 1 species